UACGUAGGGUGCAAGCGUUGUCCGGAAUUAUUGGGCGUAAAGAGCUCGUAGGCGGUUUGUUGUGUCGGCUGUGAAAUCCCGAGGCUCAACCUCGGGUCUGCAGUCGAUACGAGCAAACUAGAGUGUUGCAGGGGAGACUGGAAUUCCUGGUGUAGCGGUGAAAUGCGCAGAUAUCAGGAGGAACACCGGUGGGCGAAGGCGGGUCUCUGGGCAACAACUGACGCUGGAGGAGCGAAAGCGUGGGGAGCGAACAGG
rnacentral:rRNA from 1 species